AUCAGAUAAAAGACAAUUGGUGAC
rnacentral:siRNA from 1 species